CCUCUUUUUUCCCAUGGGCCCCCUCUCCAAUUCUAUCCAAAAUCCCCCAAGAAAAUGAGAAUCUGCGCGCAUCCAAAAUUGUGACACCUUCUUUUUGCUUGAUGCCACCCCUACCAAUUGAAGCACACCUCUCCAAGCCACCUGGACCGUGGUAUGUAAUUAUGCUCGAUGCACCUCCAUUUUAUUUCAUGAUGCAGUAACGUGGGUGCUAAUUCCCUGCAUGGACAACACCACUUUCUGCUAAAUGCACCUCCC
rnacentral:lncRNA from 1 species